rnacentral:rRNA from 1 species
ACGAACGCUGGCGGCGUGCCUAAUACAUGCAAGUAGAACGCUGAAGGAGGAGCUUGCUUCUCUGGAUGAGUUGCGAACGGGUGAGUAACGCGUAGGUAACCUGCCUGGUAGCGGGGGAUAACUAUUGGAAACGAUAGCUAAUACCGCAUAAGAGUAGAUGUCGCAUGACAUUUGCUUAAAAGGUGCAAUUGCAUCACUACCAGAUGGACCUGCGUUGUAUUAGCUAGUUGGUGAGGUAACGGCUCACCAAGGCAACGAUACAUAGCCGACCUGAGAGGGUGAUCGGCCACACUGGGACUGAGACACGGCCCAGACUCCUACGGGAGGCAGCAGUAGGGAAUCUUCGGCAAUGGACGGAAGUCUGACCGAGCAACGCCGCGUGAGGGAAGAAGGUUUUCGGAUCGUAAAGCUCUGUUGUAAGAGAAGAACGAGUGUGAGAGUGGAAAGUUCACACUGUGACGGUAUCUUACCAGAAAGGGACGGCUAACUACGUG